CUGAGAAGUAGGGACUAUUAACACUCCUAUUUCAUAAAUAUGGAAAAGGGGCUUGGACUUGAAUAGGUAAGCAGCAGUGCCAGAACUCAAACCCAAGCUGAU